rnacentral:SRP_RNA from 1 species
CGACGUGGAGGCCGGCAAGAAGGAGGCGGCCAAGGUCUCGAAGGAGAAGGUCAGUGCCUGAGGGAGGAAAGAGAGCU